UGAGCAACCUGCCCUUAGCUCUGGGAUAACCCCGGGAAACCGGGCUAAUACCGGAUAUGAGUCCGAGCGGCAUCACGCGGACUGGAGAGUUUUUCGGCUAAGGAUGGGCUCGCGGCCUAUCAGCUUGUUGGUGGGGUAAUGGCCUACCAAGGCGACGACGGGUAGCCGGCCUGAGAGGGCGACCGGCCACACUGGGACUGAGACACGGCCCAGACUCCUACGGGAGCA
rnacentral:rRNA from 1 species